CAGCGGUGCUCGCCCGCCGGCGGCCCGAGGGAUGCUCCGCGCCUCGGCGGGGGCAGUGCUCGCUACGAACGUGGGGCCGCGCCGCUGUGUAGGCACAGGUGCGUGUCAGCGGGCCUGAGAGAGGACACAACCCCCCUCCAUAACUAUUGUAUCAGCCCGUCUCUAUAGAAUGGAAGUGUGCUGACUUGUUAAGCCUGGAGCAGGGCAGAGCUGCCUGCUGCUGGGAGAGCAGGUCAGAGAGGAGUGCUGGCAGAAGUGGAGUGUGCCAGCAGCCGAGCAACCUGACCUGCUGGCAGCAAGAUGGAGGAGCUGCAUGCAGGAAGAUAAGGGAGGGAGCAAUGAUCUGUCUGGAGAAGUGGGAUUUCAGUGCGGCUCCAAGCACAGAUGCACUGGCAGGUGGCUCAUGAAUGGAUCAGACAAGUCCUGGUGCUCAUGUGAGGAACGAACACAUUCAUGAGGGCAAAGGAAGAGUGCAACUGCACCAUCAUGACUGACAUCAACUUAAGAGACAUGUGCCUGGCUCCAUUUGUGAGCAUCACCUGGAGUUCAUCAGCAGAACAUCACCUGGGCUGUUACAGGUCUGCCUGUGCAUCACUUUGCUCCUCUGUGAAAUGGCAACACUCACAUGGAGGACAAAAGUAAUGUUGCUGUUCAGGGAAGAGAGAUUUUGCCUCAGGAACAUUAAAUGCAGGGGUAUUAUGUCACAAAAUUCUUAGCACAAAUGUUGUUUUAAGCUAUCAGCACCUAGUCAAUAAAUGAGGGUAUGUGAAGGACCUAUUAAAAUAUAAGUUUGUGUGUGUAUGGUUAUGGAGGAAGUUUUGAAGGCAGGCUGACUCCACAAGUAUAAAGUGCAGAAAUACAUUUUAAAACUCUCUCUUGAAGUUUAAUUCUUGAGAAAUCAAAGCUUUCUUAAAAGCUUCAACAAUGCAUACUCAGAUAAAAGAGGUCGACCUGAGCAGAAUAGAAACUGCAAGGUCUUUCUUGGUUUUAGCGUCAGAGUUUCAUUUGUUGUUCUUCUUUUUGUGUAGUUUCAGCAAAAAGCUCAAAUAUUUGAAUCCAGCCACUCUUCUUGUCAUCACUGAGCUGUAACUGUAAGUGCUGACCUUGUACAAAAUAUUCCCUUCCUUAGAAAGCUGAUAAGCCCCAGUUUUGGGUAUGCUAAGAGUGGUCCUGAUAAAGAACAGUUCGCUAAUUUAACUCAGCGUUUUCAUUUUCCUUUUGUGUUUUAACAAAUAGUUUUAUUUCUUGUGCUUCCUCCCCAUUCCCCUGCCCUGCAAUUUCUUAUGAAUGUGAGUCUGCCUGUUAAAAACACAACAGAGGGUUUUUAAAGACAGAGAAUAAAAGAACAAUGGCAGAGAAUGAUCUCAGGAAAUCUCAGGGACAAUGAGAAAUCUUAUCAGGGUUGGCAUGAGAAUCAGUGAGAAUUAAGAAAGUCCCUUAAACAGUCUCACUUCUUCAUUUUAACAAGUGUAUUAUAAAUCAAUUUCUCCCCCAGGAAUUGACUGCAAAGAUAUGUGUGUGAGCAAAGCCUGUUGAGAAGUAGAGCAAAUUAAAAUUUUAGCAUAAUGCAUGAAACCUCAAUCCAGCUGGAGGAUGGGCCUUUUUGAGGUGAUUGCUGGGAAAUACAGCUUCUGCAAAGUUUCAUAUCUUUCGCAAAACAUGCUCUCUCAGUGAGUCAGGCAGCAAAUAACCUCCCCUGCUUGCUCUCCUAAAGCAAGAUGGAUGGUGUUAGAGGAACAUUCAUCAAGCUGGAUCCAGCUGAGCACAAACUGCCGCAAUGAAACGCAAGGAGUAACUGGAACAGUGACUCUGAAUGUGAGCGUGCAAUUUCUGCCGAGAACAGGGAGUUUCGUGCCCUGAUAACUAAAAUCAGACAUUGGUCUUGCAGUCUCUAUUUUUUUAUGUAGGUACCACAGAGCUACAGCUCCCUCAGUUUCUCCUGGAAAUGUCUUUAAACUGUUAAAAUUUCUUUCUCAUUUGCAAAUUUGUCUGUAGUAAGAGCACAGUGCUAAACCUCUAUAAGGAAAAAGUUUAACACAAAUGAAAUUUCAUUGCUUCUGUGCUAUCUUUGCUGCUUACAAAUUACCUCUUGCCUGGGAUAUUGUUGGUAGUGAAAUCUCUCCUUUGCAGCAGUUAUUUAAUGUUUCUCUCUCUUAUGGCCAUUUUCAGUUCAAACACCUUGCCUACCCCAUUCAUCUUCUGCCUCCACCCACGGUCAGGACUUUUGUUUAUCUUCUGGUUAGUUAAAAUGUCUGCCUCAUUCCCUGAGCAAAAUUAAACCCCAGGCAGGAAAAAUGCUACUAGGAUCCCCUAGGAUUCUCCAUGGGCAGUUAAUACAAAUCAAAUCUUCCUCCUAUAAAAUGAGUAAAUGAAUAAAAACACUCUUUUUGACUCUGUGCUCUGGACUUGAUAUGAGCCACUUGCCAAAAUCUACAGGACAGAGCAAAGGAAGGGGGUUUUUUCCCUCUCCUUCCAACUACACUCCUGACUAAUGCUUCAAAAAUCGGAGUGAUGUUGUUCCAUGCACUUGAAAACAGAGAUGUUCUGUGUAGAAACUUCCACAAGCAUGGUGUGUCCUUCCCACAGAAGACGUGUGUACCUCAGAUCCUGAGUCUGCAGCUUGGUCCUGGCCCCGUUUACUGCCUUGUGCAUUUAUGUGCGAAAGCUCUGCCAUAGCCCUGAGGAACGUGGAAUUAAAAGUCUGUAGUUCCCUGGGUGACUUCUCAGUGAUGGCUUUUGUGCAAGCCUGGUUUUAGUUCUGUUCCUUGAAAUUGCAGCUCAAAAUCCUGGAAGUUUUUCUUUAUGCACCAAGUGACAGACCUCUAUGGAGCCUGCACACAGCUCUGCCAGAGAAGUAAAUUGGCUGUAUUGGUCUAUUACCCACUUACCGCUGCUGAGAAAUACGUGUCUGAACAGCUGUCAAGGCAAAGCUGUGUGAAUCAUUAAAACGGCUUUUCAGCUCGCCACUGAUGAAAUCCACAGAGCUGAUGCGGCAGCACAGAAAGAUUUAAGAUCAAAACAGAGUUUUGAAAAUUCCUCAGCUGCUGGCUCAGCUUCAGCUGGUGCUGGGGAGGCAACAGAGGUCGCAACUUUGCUUCAGCUCCUGGAAUGAGUCUUGGGUGAGGAGCAGAAACUCAGGGAUGGCUGAUGAGAUAUUACUGGAGACCGACACCUGGGGCUGGGCAGCUGAAGCAAGCCAGGACUCAUCUCAACAAACUUCAACUGCCUGAAAGCAGUCAGUGUCAGUGAGCUGGCCUGAAGGCUCUGAAAUAGUGAGAUUCCCCUUUGUGGGCAGGUGUGCAGCUGGCACAGGGCAGCAUGACAAUGUAUCUAGGAUAUAUUUUAGAUUGUUUAAAUUUUCCAUGCCCAAACAGAAGAAUGUUCAAUUAUUAUCAAAAUAUUAGGGCAUAUUAUUGGCAAAUUUAAAGCUUUUGGAACAAAAAGAUGAGGUUUCUGAAUAGAAUGCCCAAUCUUUUUGUGGCAUGACUUUAACCAGGGAGAAAACGUCUGUGAGAAGGAGUAAGAAUUUAAGAAGAAUUUCAAGCUAGAAACUGGAGAAGUGAGGAGAAAGAGAGGAGCAGAGAAUCAUGAUGACAUUUGUUUAAAGGUGCCAUUUUGACCUCUUUAUAAUCACAAGUCAGAAAUAUCAGACGUAUUCCAGAAGGAAGAUAAUUACUGGGUCAUUGUAAUAGCAUGAUAAAAAUUACAUGGGAAAGAACCAAAAUAGAUCCCCUCCAAAUUAGGAAAAGGACAUGAACUCUGUCAAAUUAAAAGCAGAAACGGAAAGGAAGACUAAAAAAAUAUUUUGAGGAAACUUGCUACUAGACAAAAAAGCCUCCUCUAUCCCAGCAGGAGUAGGGAGCCUGCUGGAGGGUUCUGCAGGUGACCAGGGUGUGCAGUCAGCAGAUGAUCAAGGUGGCAAAGGAGUUUGAGAGGAAACACAUCCUAACACAACAGCUAAACAGAUUACUCGUGUCUGUGUUUAGUGCAGAAAAGCUUAGUGAAAUUCCCAUGGAAGAACCAUUUGUUAAAGGGAUAAUGCAGGGAAGCUGCCUCAGAUUGAAGGGUCGUUAGAUGAGGCUUUAGAACAAAUAAGUGCAAGGGAUAGUUGCAAAUUCAUGAAAAGCAGAUGUUACUCGCUUGUGGGUUUUUAAGGAAUGCUAAUGGAAAUUAUUGCACUAUAUGAGCCAGUGCAUAAGCUUUUACUUAAAACAGCUGAAGAAAAGGGAUGGCAAUUAAUACUGUUUUCUUUUAAGUGCUGAAAGGGAUCUAGAGAAAUGCAAGCCAUUAAAUCUGACACCUGUGGCAGGCAAACAGCAAAAGCCAUAGUAACAGAAUAGUUGCAAGGAGAGAUAUAGACUAAGAGGGGAGAAUUGGCAGAGCUUUGCAGUGAGAGCCUAUGAAGCUGUGCUCCACCACCCUCUGACAGCUUCAGAGGAAACUGUGAAGCUGCAGAUGAGAGCAAUCCGCUCACUGUGAUCUGCUCAGCUUCUGGAAAGCCUUUAACAACAUCUGUCACCAAGGACCCAUUAAGAAGCUAAUCUGGCACGGGGAAGAUCCUCUCAUGAGUCAGCAACUGCAUACAGGAUAGAGAGACAAGGUAAGGAUAAAUCAUCCAUUCUUCACAAUGGAGAGAAGCUGCCAAUUGCAUCUUAGAAGGAUCGUGGUAGGGUCAGUGUUCAUCCGCAGACCCAUGAGUCAGGCAAAUGACUGAUCUGCUGGUGGUACCAGUUUGUUCAAGGCAGUAAAAUGCAAACUGCAUAAAGGAGUUGCAAAAACCAUCUCAUGAGUUUGCACAAAGUAACGGCGGGUGAAAAUCAGUGUAGCUAACAGCAGAGAAAAACACCUGGCUGAGCUGGGAUGAAGACUGCCUCACUACCCAGCCACAGCCAUGGCCUCUGAAACACCUGGUACUACUCAGGACAGGUAUCUGGGUGCCACUCAAAUGCUUAUUAAUUACUAUAAAGCAUUUUAAUAUAUUAUGAAGGGAAGAGGUGUCACAGAGUUAUGGAAUGGUUUGGGUUGAAAGGGACAUUAAAGAUCAUCUAGUUCCACGCCUUGUCGUGGGCAGGCACACCUUCUAUUAGACCAGGUUGCUUAAAGCCCCAUUUAAUUUGGCAUUGGAUCAUUCCAGGUAAAAGGCACCCACAUCUCUAUACAACCUGUGCCAGGGCCUCACCACCCUCACAGUGAAGAAUUUUUUCUAAUCUAAAUCCACCCUCUUUCAUUUUAAAGCCGUUCCUCCUUGUCCUGUUACUACAUGCCCUUGCAAAAAGUCUCUCUCCAACUCUCUUAUAAGCCCCCUUUAGGUACUGGGAGGUGCUGUAAGGUCUCUCCAGAGCUGUCUCCUUUCCAGGCUGAACAACUCCAGCUCUCUCAGCCUACGUACAAAGGAGAGGUUCUCCAGCCCUCUGAUCAUCUUCAAUUAUCUCCUCUGAACUCCCUCCAGCAGGUGCAUAUUCUUUUUAUGUUGGGGUCCCCAGAGCUGGAUCCAGCACUUGAGGGGAGGUCUCACAAGAGCAGAGCAGAGGGGCAGAAUCCCCCUCCUCAACCUGCUGGUCACUCUGCUUUGAUGUAGACCAGGAUACAGUUGGCUUCCUGGGCUGCGAGCACACAUUGCCAGGUCAUGUUGAGCUUCUCCUCAACCAACACCCCCAGGUCCUUCUCCUCAGGGCUGCUCUCAAUCCAUUCUCCACCCAACCUGUAUUUGUGUUUGAGAUUGCCCAAUCCAGAUGCAGGACCUCGCACUUGGCCUUGUUGAACACGACAAGGUUUGCACAGUCCCACCUCUCAAACCUGCUAGCGUCCCUCUGGAUGACAUCCCUUCCCUGCAGUGUGUCCACUGCACCACACAGCCUGGUGUUAUUGGCAAACUUGAUGAGGGUGCACUCAGUCCCACUGUCCAUGUCACUGACUAAGAUUUUUAACAGCACCAGCCCCAACACUGACCCCUGUGAAAUAUCUUCACUUGGGACACCAGCCCCUCCUUGUUGACAACACCAGGGUCCAGCAUAGCACCUUGCCUUGUUGGCUGCUCUAUCACUUGGAGAAGGAACCUCCUGGAUUGCUUAUGCUUUACUGUGCUGUCUUCUCCAACAGGUAUGUCCCCAUGAGGACCAGGGCUUGUGAAAGUGAGGCAAUUAUGUAUUAUGUAAACCAAGAUUCUUCAAGGUGGGAAAGAAGAGUCUGAGAGAGAGUAUGGUGGAGCUCUGUAAACUCAAAUGGGCCAUGGAGUCACUACCUCCCAUAACAUGCAAGAAAGGGGCAUCAGAUGAUGUCUUUAGGUUCAAGACAAAGAUGAAGGCAACAAGCUCUGCUCUUGGACAAAGAAGUUUGUCCCUUUACGAACCUGUUUUCACAGAAUGUUGGGGAGUAUAGAAGCACUGUAAAUGGUUUUAGAAGCAAGUGAACAACUUUGUGGAAGAUAAAUCAUCUGAAACACUAAGCUACCCCUCAGACGAGGAAGACCCUAGACAAGAAGUGGCUGUCCUCCCUUCUGGCCAUGAGCAGAGUUAGGACACCAGAUGGAAAUGCUUUGCAGCCAAACCUGUUUUGACACUGUAUCAACCAGACAAUUUUUAGAAGUAGAUUAGAAGAAACCCCCUCACCCUGCAGAAAAGAAGUGCACAAGCACAGCUUUGCUUUCUGAUGGGACUAUGAUCACCCUAUUAGCAUUAGUAGCAUUUCUUGCUCCAGGGUAAGUUACAGAGUUUGCUAUUUUAAAGCUUAAAAUAAAGAUUAAGAAAAAGAGCCCAUUCUUAUAUUCUUUUUCCAUGUAUUUUUUGUUUUGUGUUAGCUGAGGACAAGGCUGCAGUUUGACAAGCCCUACGCCAACACUGCUGCCAAAAGCAGCAGCUCUGCCCUCUCAUACCACUGGAAAGGACAAAUGGAGGGACAAAGGGGGGAGUGCAAAAUUAGCUUUCAGAGCUGAGAAAAUGAGGCUUCUCUUUUUCAUUCUUCUUCAGCCCUGCUGAAGGCAGGGCUGGCUUAGGCUGGUCCCAGGCACUUAUUGACCCAUAAUUUAAUUUGGUGAUGUUUCUUCUGACAGCUGUCCCUUGCAAAUUAUAACUGUCCUCAUCCCCACGAGAACAGCAGGAGUUGGUAGCUGAAUGUGGCCUUUCUUGGC